CUACGGGGGGCUCCAGUGGGGAAUCUUGCACAAUGGGCGCAAGCCUGAUGCAGCCAUGCCGCGUGAGUGAAGAAGGCCUUAGGGUUGUAAAGCUCUUUCGCUAGGGAAGAUAAUGACGGUACCUAGUAAAGAAGCCCCGGCUAACUCCGUGCCAGCAGCCGCGGUAAUACGGAGGGGGCUAGCGUUGUUCGGAAUUACUGGGCGUAAAGCGCGCGUAGGCGGACUGAUCAGUCAGAGGUGAAAUCCCGGGGCUCAACUCCGGAACUGCCUUUGAUACUGUCAGUCUAGAGACCGAGAGAGGUGAGUGGAAUUCCUAGUGUAGAGGUGAAAUUCGUAGAUAUUAGGAAGAACACCAGUGGCGAAGGCGGCUCACUGGCUCGGAACUGACGCUGAGGUGCGAAAGCGUGGGGAGCAAACAGGAUUAGAUACCCUCGUAGUC
rnacentral:rRNA from 1 species